GGUGACGAGCGGCGGACGGGUGAGUAAUGCCUAGGGAUCUGCCCAGUCGAGGGGGAUAACAGUUGGAAACGACUGCUAAUACCGCAUACGCCCUACGGGGGAAAGGAGGGGACCUUCGGGCCUUUCGCGAUUGGAUGAACCUAGGUGGGAUUAGCUAGUUGGUGAGGUAAUGGCUCACCAAGGCGACGAUCCCUAGCUGUUCUGAGAGGAUGAUCAGCCACACUGGGACUGAGACACGGCCCAGACUCCUACGGGAGGCAGCAGUGGGGAAUAUUGCACAAUGGGCGAAAGCCUGAUGCAGCCAUGCCGCGUGUGUGAAGAAGGCCUUCGGGUUGUAAAGCACUUUCAGUAGGGAGGAAAGGGUAUUGCUUAAUACGUAAUAUCUGUGACGUUACCUACAGAAGAAGGACCGGCUAACUCCGUGCCAGCAGCCGCGGUAAUACGGAGGGUCCGAGCGUUAAUCGGAAUUACUGGGCGUAAAGCGUGCGCAGGCGGUUUGUUAAGCCAGAUGUGAAAUCCCCGGGCUCAACCUGGGAAUUGCAUUUGGAACUGGCGAACUAGAGUCUUGUAGAGGGGGGUAGAAUUCCAGGUGUAGCGGUGAAAUGCGUAGAGAUCUGGAGGAAUACCGGUGGCGAAGGCGGCCCCCUGGACAAAGACUGACGCUCAUGC
rnacentral:rRNA from 1 species